rnacentral:rRNA from 1 species
GUAUAAGUAAGCGGAGGACGAGAAACCAAAUGGGAUUCUUUCAGUAAUGGCGAAUGAAGAGGGAAGAGCUCAACGUGGAAAUCGGGGCCUCCAGCCUUGACUUGUAGCCUGGAGAUGGACAGCCAGCGGAGGCGCAGAUGUAGACCUCUUGGAAGAGAGCACCAAGGACGGUGAGAGUCCUGUGCGUCAUCUGCAAGCCCCCGUCUACGGCGUGCCUUCGAAGAGUCACGUUCCUCGGAACUGGAACGCAAAUUGGGUGGUAACUUUCAUCUCAAGCUAAAUAAGGAUUCGAGACCGAUAGUAAACAAGUACCAUGAGGGAAAGGUGAAAAGGACUUUGAAAAGAGAGUUAUAAGUGCCUGAAAUUGCUGAAAGCAAAGCGAAGGGAACUAGUGAUGCUGGGCGAGAUCUUCCACGCGUUUACGCAAUUGCUUGCUGCUUCAACGCAAGCGCGGCAGCGAGUGUAGAUGGGAGAGUGUGUGGUGCCUCUUGCCCCGCGCGCCAACGCCGGUUCACAAACGAGGAGCACUCCAGGGAAAUGGCAAUCUGCAUCCGGGUGGAUGAAUGUGCCUGGUAGAACUCUUUGAGCGCUGGCUCACGGCCGUCCGGUAACAGCGCUCUGCGCUUGCUUGGCGCGUUUCCUGACGCAGAGAGGGACAGAAUGGUUCUAUUCGACCCGUCUUGAAACACGGACCAAGGAGUCUAACACAUCUGCGAGUUCAUGGGCGGGUAAACCUGCUUGCGCAAUGAAAGUGAUUGCUGGGAAUUUGCAAACCAAGAACCGACUAAUCAACUAAGAGAGGUUUGAGAGUGAGCACAUCUGUUAGGACCCGAAAGAUGGUGAACUAUGCCUGAGUAGGGCAAACUCAGGGGAAACUCUGAUGGAGGCUCGUAGCGAUACUGACGUGCAAAUCGUUCGUCAUACUUUGGUAUAGGGGCGAAAG